GCGCAGCAGGCGAGAAUCCUCCACAAUGCGGGAAACCGUGAUGGGGGGAAUCCGAGUGCCCGUUGGCUAAUGCUGGCGGGCUUUUCUCAAGCGUAAAAGGCUUGAGGAAUAAGGACUGGGUAAGACCGGUGCCAGCCGCCGCGGUAACACCGGCGGUCCAACUGGUGAUCAGCAUUAUUGGGUCUAAAGCGUCCGUAGCCGGAUGGUUGGAUUUCGAGUGAAAUUCCCCAGCUUAACUGGGGGGCGUGCUUGAAACACCCGCCAUCUAGGGACCGGGAGAGGUUGGGGGUAGGCCCCGGGUAGAAGUAAAAUUCUAUAAUCCGGGGAGGACCACCGGUGGCGAAGGCGCCCUACCAGAACGGGUCCGACGGUGAGGGACGAAGGCCAGGGGAGCGAACCGGAUUAGAUACCCCUGUAGUCCCUGAGACGCCAAGGCAC
rnacentral:rRNA from 1 species